GACAGAGGUGCCGAGCGUUAGGCGGAAUCACUGGGCUUAAAGCGUGUGUAGGCGGACCGUUAAGUGUCUUGUGAAAUCCCCCGGCUCAACCGGGGAAUUGCUGGGCAUACUGGCGGUCUUGAGCAGUCUAGGGGCAGAUGGAACAAGUGGUGUAGCGGUGAAAUGCGCAGAUAUCAGGAGGAACACCGGUGGCGAAGGCGGGUCUCUGGGCCGAUACUGACGCUGAGGAGCGAAAGCGUGGGGAGCGAACAGG
rnacentral:rRNA from 1 species